rnacentral:rRNA from 1 species
AUUGAACGCUGGCGGCAGGCUUAACACAUGCAAGUCGAGCGGAGAUGAGGUGCUUGCACCUUAUCUUAGCGGCGGACGGGUGAGUAAUGCUUAGGAAUCUGCCUAUUAGUGGGGGACAACAUUCCGAAAGGAAUGCUAAUACCGCAUACGCCCUACGGGGGAAAGCAGGGGAUCUUCGGACCUUGCGCUAAUAGAUGAGCCUAAGUCGGAUUAGCUAGUUGGUGGGGUAAAGGCCUACCAAGGCGACGAUCUGUAGCGGGUCGGAGAGGAUGAUCCGCCACACUGGGACUGAGACACGGCGCAGCAUCCUACGGGAGGCAGCAGUGGGGAAUAUUGGACAAUGGGCGGAAGCCUGAUCCAGCCAUGCCGCGUGUGUGAAGAAGGCCUUUUGGUUGUAAAGCACUUUAAGCGAGGAGGAGGCUACCUGGAUUAAUACUCUAGGAUAGUGGACGUUACUCGCAGAAUAAGCACCGGCUAACUCUGUGACAGCCGCCGCCGUAA